UAAGCUCCUUUCCAUUUGAUGCUCGAUUCAUUUCCAUCAAGCAAUGAAUCUAAUCUUUGCGAAAUAUCCGAACACUUACCUAAUCCUUGAUGAUCUCCCUAAGUAUUCUCACCCAACUCCGUUGCAUACUCUGAUUAUCACAUAUCCUCGUAUAUUAUCGCAUAUCUCAAUGAUUCUCUUCUUCAAUUUGAAAAAGAUACCAUAGUUCUAAGAUCCUAUAAAUGUCUCGUCGACCCUAGUCUCUUGCAUCACAGAACUCAAGUAAUCAAACAAAGCUAAAGAAGCCAAUCAUAGGCUUCAAGUAUGUGAUGGAUCAUAAAGGUCCAUACAUGUUUUGGAGCAAUAUAGAGAUUAUGGAAUCUUUUAGAGGCUAAAGAUGAGGAAACUCGUAGCUGUUCAAAAAAUCAGAAGUCAGAGUCCAUAUUUAGAAGAAGUGUUGAUCGACACCUCUUUCUUGGUGUCACUCGACAUCUGCGGGAGUAGCGGACCGGCUUAAUUUAAGACCGACUUAGAUUCAGAAGUUAUCACAUAUUAAUUACAAGAUUUUACAUGGCCGACUUUAUACCUAGUAUUUAUGGUUUUUUUGCCAUUGUUUAGACAAAGAGAGCACGCUUUACAAACCAGUUUUAUUUAGUAAUUUUUGGAGAGAAGAUCAAAUACUCUUUCAGAGAUUUGUAUUGGAACUCCAGUAUCUCUUACUCUAUCUAUUUAUGCAAUUCAUUCAGAUUAUCGUUA